GCGGCGAAGUGACGUGGCGGAGUGACUGACGGACCUAUUUUCAAGGCUCUCUGGCGCUGAGUUCGAGGCUGCUGGGUAUAACUCUUCGCCAUGGAACACUGUAAGGUAGUAGCGAGGAAGGUGGACCAAUAACCUUUUAGGAGAGAAAUAAAAUGAUGAAGAAUAUAAAAAUAGUGAAGAUAGUAAGUGGCCUCCCCCCCCCCCCCCCUUUCCCCUGAAACUUGAAGUAUAAAACGGAAAUAUAUGAAAAAAAUGAAGUGAAAGAAAUCGAACAGUAAAAAAAGUCUGAUAAUUUCCCCCAAAAAACUAACAUUAAAAGGAAAAUUGUGGAGUGAAAAAAAUAAAGGAAAAAAAAGUAAAAAGAAAAUCAGUGAAAGAAGUUGAGGUGAAAAGAGGUGAAAAGUGAAAUGUCGAACAGUGAAAAAGAUUAAACAGUGCAAGAAAUAAAUCGGAAAAAGUGGACAGUGAAAAAAAUAUUAACAGUGAAAAGAAAAUUGAAGAUUGAAAAAAAUGAACAGUAAAAAAAAAAAAAAAGAAAUGGAGAAAAUGAAGUGAAAAAAAAUCUAACCAUGAGAAAAA